rnacentral:rRNA from 1 species
GACGAACCGUGCGAACGUUGUUCGGAAUCACUGGGCUUAAAGGGCGCGUAGGCGGGUUCGCAAGUCUGUGGUGAAAGCCUCCAGCUUAACUGGAGAAGUGCCAUGGAUACUGCGCAUCUUGAGGAGGGUAGGGGCGUCUGGAACGGUCGGUGGAGCGGUGAAAUGCGUUGAUAUCGAGAGGAACACCUGCGGCGAAGGCGGGUAGCUGGGCCGACACUGACGCUGAUGCGCGAAAGCCAGGGGAGCGAACGGG